rnacentral:rRNA from 1 species
UACGUAGGUGGCAAGCGUUGUCCGGAUUUACUGGGCGUAAAGGGCGUGCAGGCGGCUUGUUAAGUCUAGGGUGAAAGCUCCCGGCUCAACUGGGAGAGGUCCUUGGAUACUGGCAGGCUCGAGGGAGGUAGAGGAAAGUGGAAUUCCCGGUGUAGUGGUGAUAUGCGUAGAUAUCGGGAAGAACACCAGUGGCGAAGGCGGCUCGCUGGGCCGAUGCUGACGCUGAGGCGCGAAAGCGUGGGGAGCAAACAGG